rnacentral:rRNA from 1 species
UAACACUAACUGGAGGACCGAACCGACUAAUGUUGAAAAAUUAGCGGAUGACUUGUGGCUGGGGGUGAAAGGCCAAUCAAACCGGGAGAUAGCUGGUUCUCCCCGAAAGCUAUUUAGGUAGCGCCUCGUGAAUUCAUCUCCGGGGGUAGAGCACUGUUUCGGCAAGGGGGUCAUCCCGACUUACCAACCCGAUGCAAACUGCGAAUACCGGAGAAUGUUAUCACGGGAGACACACGGCGGGUGCUAACGUCCGUCGUGAAGAGGGAAACAACCCAGACCGCCAGCUAAGGUCCCAAAGUCAUGGUUAAGUGGGAAACGAUGUGGGAAGGCCCAGACAGCCAGGAUGUUGGCUUAGAAGCAGCCAUCAUUUAAAGAAAGCGUAAUAGCUCACUGGUCGAGUCGGCCUGCGCGGAAGAUGUAACGGGGCUAAACCAUGCACCGAAGCUGCGGCAGCGACGCUUAUGCGUUGUUGGGUAGGGGAGCGUUCUGUAAGCCUGUGAAGGUGGCCUGUGAGGGUUGCUGGAGGUAUCAGAAGUGCGAAUGCUGACAUAAGUAACGAUAAAGCGGGUGAAAAGCCCGCUCGCCGGAAGACCAAGGGUUCCUGUCCAACGUUAAUCGGGGCAGGGUGAGUCGACCCCUAAGGCGAGGCCGAAAGGCGUAGUCGAUGGGAAACAGGUUAAUAUUCCUGUACUUGGUGUUACUGCGAAGGGGGGACGGAGAAGGCUAUGUUGGCCGGGCGACGGUUGUCCCGGUUUAAGCGUGUAGGCUGGUUUUCCAGGCAAAUCCGGAAAAUCAAGGCUGAGGCGUGAUGACGAGGCACUACGGUGCUGAAGCGACAAAUGCCCUGCUUCCAGGAAAAGCCUCUAAGCAUCAGGUAACAUUAAAUCGUACCCCAAACCGACACAGGUGGUCAGGUAGAGAAUACCAAGGCGCUUGAGAGAACUCGGGUGAAGGAACUAGGCAAAAUGGUGCCGUAACUUCGGGAGAAGGCACGCUGAUAUGUAGGUGAAGCGACUUGCUCGUGGAGCUGAAAUCAGUCGAAGAUACCAGCUGGCUGCAACUGUUUAUUAAAAACACAGCACUGUGCAAACACGAAAGUGGACGUAUACGGUGUGACGCCUGCCCGGUGCCGGAAGGUUAAUUGAUGGGGUUAGCGGUAACGCGAAGCUCUUGAUCGAAGCCCCGGUAAACGGCGGCCGUAACUAUAACGGUCCUAAGGUAGCGAAAUUCCUUGUCGGGUAAGUUCCGACCUGCACGAAUGGCGUAAUGAUGGCCAGGCUGUCUCCACCCGAGACUCAGUGAAAUUGAACUCGCUGUGAAGAUGCAGUGUACCCGCGGCAAGACGGAAAGACCCCGUGAACCUUUACUAUAGCUUGACACUGAACAUUGAGCCUUGAUGUGUAGGAUAGGUGGGAGGCUUUGAAGUGUGGACGCCAGUCUGCAUGGAGCCGACCUUGAAAUACCACCCUUUAAUGUUUGAUGUUCUAACGUGGGCCCCUUACCGGGGUUGCGGACAGUGUCUGGUGGGUAGUUUGACUGGGGCGGUCUCCUCCUAAAGAGUAACGGAGGAGCACGAAGGUUGGCUAAUCCUGGUCGGACAUCAGGAGGUUAGUGCAAUGGCAUAAGCCAGCUUGACUGCGAGCGUGACGGCGCGAGCAGGUGCGAAAGCAGGUCAUAGUGAUCCGGUGGUUCUGAAUGGAAGGGCCAUCGCUCAACGGAUAAAAGGUACUCCGGGGAUAACAGGCUGAUACCGCCCAAGAGUUCAUAUCGACGGCGGUGUUUGGCACCUCGAUGUCGGCUCAUCACAUCCUGGGGCUGAAGUAGGUCCCAAGGGUAUGGCUGUUCGCCAUUUAAAGUGGUACGCGAGCUGGGUUUAGAACGUCGUGAGACAGUUCGGUCCCUAUCUGCCGUGGGCGCUGGAGAACUGAGGGGGGCUGCUCCUAGUACGAGAGGACCGGAGUGGACGCAUCACUGGUGUUCGGGUUGUCAUGCCAAUGGCACUGCCCGGUAGCUAAAUGCGGAAGAGAUAAGUGCUGAAAGCAUCUAAGCACGAAACUUGCCCCGAGAUGAGUUCUCCCUGACUCCUUGAGAGUCCUGAAGGAACGUUGAAGACGACGACGUUGAUAGGCCGGGUGUGUAAGCGCAGCGAUGCGUUGAGCUAACCGGUA